UACUCCCUUGAAAUAGCCCAAAAGGCACCAAGUUCUAUCUGAUCAUGAAAGCUAAGCAGGGUCGGUCCAGGUUAGGACUUGGAUGGGAGACCGCCAAUGAGUGCGAGGUGAGGUAGGCU
rnacentral:rRNA from 11 species